AGAGGUUGGCGCUAUCCUAGAAGAGACAGAAGCCUGUGACUGGUGGAGCCUGGGUGCUAUUCUUUUCGAACUCCUCACUGGGAAGACUCUGGUUGAGUGCCAUCCAUCAGGAAUAAACACUCACACUUCUUUGAGUAUACCAGACCAUGUAUCAAAGGAGGCCAGGUCACUGAUUCAACAGCUUUUGCAGUUUAAUCCUGCGGAGCGUCUUGGUGCUGGUGUUGCUGGUGUUGAAGACAUCAAAUCUCAUCCGUUUUUUGCCCUUAUAGAAUGGGCAGAUCUGCUGAAAUGAGAGAUGUGUGCCCUCUCAACAAACUCAGGUCAAGUGGACAACUUUCUCUGGCACAGAAGCACCCUGACUUGCUUCCUUUGGAUGUCCCAAACCGUUUGGACGCGAGGACUAAAGGACGCUGGAGCGAUCAGGCCAAAAGUGUAUACUUUUAACAGGAAUCACUGGUUGUACAGGGUGCUAGCUUAUUUUUGCCACAACUGGUUGCUACGUGUGCGUAAGUCUCUUCACCAAAGGGUGGUUUGUGAUGAAAUUCCUGGGCAGCAUGUUUAGCACUGCCAGCUUGUCAACAAAGUAGAAACCAAAAUGGGCUCCUGGUGCUUUGUCUGAUGAUGGAAGCGUCUGCAGACUGUGCCAGUUGAAAGUAUCUUUUAUAGUGUCAAUAGACCAUUUCUCUAUGCUAAGUGCAGCUCUGGGGGGACAGGAGGGAGGAAGGAAGGAGCAAAUAAUUUAUUAAUGGUAUAUGCUGAAUAAAAUACUAAAAUGCUUCAUGCAAAAGUUGACAAGUUAAAAAUAAUAUAUCCAUUAAAAAUUAAGAAAGCUGUUGCAUAAUACUGUGGAAUGUGUCUUGAAAAUGGCAUAUCAUUUCCCACUGUGGAAAGAGCAUAU